rnacentral:lncRNA from 1 species
AAUACAUUGUUCUGUUCUUUGUUCUUAUUUUUCCCAAAGUGAAAUUUUUCAUUCAUCAGAGACAUUACCAGUUUAACCUGUGCUUCAGAGGGCUUUGGAGCCGUCAGUCUAUAUCUUCAAGAGGUUUUAUUUUUAUAAUGGAAAUCUAACUAACAAAUUAAUAACAUGGGCCGCUAUUCUGCUACCCAUAGAAAAUGUUCAGGGUAUUAUGAUUUCAGGGUAAUGAUAAUCAUGAUUUAGGCAUAGCUCAUUUGUAACUUUAUAGUUUAUAAGAUAGCUGGAGGAAGAGUCAUUCCAGAGGUGAGGGAAGACCAGGGAUUGAAAGGGUCUCUAAUUCCUAGAUUAUGAAGUUUGAAGGGAAUUACCAGCAAAAUAAAGCUAAAAGGCUUUUAAACAUCUGUGGGCUUGGUUGCUGGCUACAAAUUGAAUAAAUAUCUCCUUUGGAUUAGUAGUAUAGGUGGAAACCUGUACUUUUAGAUUGCUUUGAAAGGCCUUUCCCAGUUCUAGGAAUGCCAUACAAUGUGGAGGUGAUGUUGAAAGAAGUGAAUUCUGUCUUUGAAUGUCUAGCAGCUUGGCCUACUGUGAUGAGAAAGGAGAACAAGAUUUGUUUUUUCUCAGAAUGUCCUAAUAUUAGAAUCAACCGUAACUUUCAAUAACCAAAUUGCCUUUAAUUUUCAUAGUGAAAUAGAGAGAAAUUAGAUAUCUGUCUUUUCUGUAUUGUAGUUUAGAAAGGUUGGUUUUUCAAAGUAGGAUGGAUGGUGUUUGUGAAGCCCUGAUAGAUUUGUUCAGGAAAAAAGCCUAUUCAGUGUUAAGAAAAAAGCCUAUUCAGUGUUAGGAAAGAAGUAAUCUGCCACUAUGCAAUGGGUCCCGUGUUAAAUGUUGCAGUGUUUCAUGAGCACAAAGUGAGGCAACACUAUAAAGAAUCGGAUGGGACAAAGAGUCACCUCGCCCAUGUUUUUUUUUUCCCUUCAAGAAUUACUUGCCAUAAUAAACUUGAUUUCUGUUUCC